GUGGGGAAUUUUGGACAAUGGGCGCAAGCCUGAUCCAGCAAUGCCGCGUGCAGGAAGAAGGCCUUCGGGUUGUAAACUGCUUUUGUACGGAACGAAACGGUCCGGGUUAAUACCCUGGGCUAAUGACGGUACCGUAAGAAUAAGCACCGGCUAACUACGUGCCAGCAGCCGCGGUAAUACGUAGGGUGCAAGCGUUAAUCGGAAUUACUGGGCGUAAAGCGUGCGCAGGCGGUUUUGUAAGACAGGCGUGAAAUCCCCGGGCUCAACCUGGGAAUUGCGCUUGUGACUGCAAGGCUGGAGUGCGGCAGAGGGGGAUGGAAUUCCGCGUGUAGCAGUGAAAUGCGUAGAUAUGCGGAGGAACACCGAUGGCAAAGGCAAUCCCCUGGGCCUGCACUGACGCUCAUGCACGAAAGCGUGGGGAGCAAACAGGAUUAGAUACCCUUGUAGUCC
rnacentral:rRNA from 1 species